rnacentral:lncRNA from 1 species
AACAUCAGUGAAUUGCUGCAACAAAGCAGAAACCAAGUUAGGAACCCCAGCUACGCGAGAAGAACCCUCAGUAGAUGCCAACACUACGAUCUCCUCCGGUUUACUCUCAAUCAAAACAGAGGGCAUUGACUGUUACGACGAAUUAUUGGUAUGCAAACUACAAUCACCCAGUAGCUUAACCCUCAUGCCUUGAUAAACAAAGGAAAACUCCUGAUGCCGCCAAUCCACUUCACAUCUUCACAUCUUCCCAACGUCUCCAACCACUGCACUCCCAAGAUAACAUCCACAGAUCCCAACUCCAAUGUAAUGAAGUCAGUAACAAAAUCCGUAGACUGAAGCUGAAAUGUUACUGCUUUACAUACUCCCAGUGCGUUCACUUGCACCCCAUUACCCAACAACACUUCCACCUUCUUAUCCACC